rnacentral:rRNA from 1 species
GAUCCUGCCAGUAGUCAUACGCUCGUCUCAAAGAUUAAGCCAUGCAUGUGUAAGUAUAAAUAUUUAACUUUGAAACUGCGAAUGGCUCAUUAUAUCAGUUAUAGUUUAUUUGAUGAAAAGUACUACUUGGAUAACCGUAGUAAUUCUAGAGCUAAUACAUGAUAAAAUCCUCGACUUUGAAGAGGUGUAUUUAUUAGAAUGAAACCAAUAGACUUCGGUCUGUUUGUGAGUAAUAAUAACUAAUCGUAUCGCAUGCUUAGGUAGCGAUAUGUCUUUCAAGUUUCUGCCCUAUCAGCUUUGGAUGGUAGUGUAUUGGACUACCAUGGCAGUAACGGGUAACGAAGAAUUUGGGUUCGAUUUCGGAGAGGGAGCCUGAGAGAUGGCUACCACAUCCAAGGAAGGCAGCAGGCGCGUAAAUUACCCAAUCCUGACAUAGGGAGGUAGUGACAAUAAAUCACAAUGCGGAACUAUUAGUUUUGCAAUUGGAUUGAGAACAAUGUACAAAUGUUAUCGAUAAACAAUUGGAGGGCAAGUCUGGUGCCAGCAGCCGCGGUAAUUCC